rnacentral:lncRNA from 15 species
UUGUUUGAUUCAUUGUUGUUGUUUUUUUGUACCUUGUUUAUUAUCUUUUAUUAUCCUGUAACAAAAUACAAGUUUAUAUGAUUGGAUGUUGUACUAUAAAUGCCAAAAAUGAAGAAAAACAUACAAAACUGAGGUAUUUGCAAAUAACUAAACUAACUUAUUUCCAUUAGUUUAUGCUAACUUAUGCUUUUACUCCCUAACAAUUCAGAGAGAAAUGUAAUACUUGUUUUUGUUUUGUUUGCAAAUCACUUACAUUAACUCCAGCUUGACCAACAACAACAUUUAUGCAUCAGUAAAAACAAUCUGACUUCAGUAAAGUUACUUUUGUUUAAGUAAGCUUUUGAAUGCAGCACUUUUCCUUGUAAUGGAGUAUUUUCAUACCGCGAUAUUACUGCAUGUGUCAAGAAAACACUGAAAACUACAGCAACAACUUGAUACAAAUGCAACUUUAAUGCAGCAUCAGAUGAGCCUAUAAACUGACAUUAGCUCCAGGUAGCAGCCUUUAGCCUCAUAGCUCACCAAGCAGAAGCCCGUCAUUAAAGCGCCAAGGAAUCCAUAUUGGCACAAAUAUAACACAAAUAUAAAUACUUACCUUAGGCCACAACUACUACCUGGGUUUGAGACUGACAGCUGACAUAAGGAGGAACCAAGGAACUGAGUUGGGAACCAAAUUGUCUUGAAACAAGUGCUGGCAGCAGACAUCUUCCUUCAACUACAAGACUACGGAUUCAGUUGUGUUAUGAAAUCAAACAGUCUUUGGCCUCAGCGUUAGUCCGCUGCCAAUCAACUGGACAAAUCCUGUGUUUCCAUGGCGAUGUGAAAGGCUAGGGAUGACUUGUCUUUAUAGAAAGGUGCAGUCACUGUUGAACUCCUGUGCUGUGUGUGGGUGGAUGGACAGGAUUUAAAAUACCAGCCCAGCCACAGGCACACUGCUGAGCACCUUCUGUGACUUCCGCAGGCCAAGAAAUGCAAGCGAUCAUUAAUGUUAUACACGCACGCAUUGAGCUGCAGUGAACCACAGGACUACAUAUUUAUAUUGACACUGCUAAA